rnacentral:rRNA from 1 species
AGGUUUGAUCCUGGCUCAGGACUAACGCUGGCGGCGUGCCUAACACAUGCAAGUCGAACGGGGUAGCAAUACCCAGUGGCAGACGGGUGAGUAACACGUGGUCAACCUACCCCUGUGUGGGGGAUAACUAGCCGAAAGGUUAGCUAAUACCGCAUGCGAUCGUUUGGAGGCAUCUUCGAACGAUGAAAGGAGCAAUCCGC